AUAUCUAAAAUAGGCCCUUGAGGCAUUGUACCAAGGAUGCUAGCGGCAUUUCCUCGUUGUAUCGCAAUACUGAUACGUUGUGCGAGGAAGCCGCCAGCUCUUCGGUCACCAGUUACGUCUACCUAUAGAUUAAAUAUACUCCAGGAGCCAAGUACUAAUAGCUGUAAACAUAUUGUUGGCUAAUAUGUUAGCACCUUAUAUGCCUAUAAGAUUUGAGGAGUUCCCUCAAGUCCUCAUGGAUUCCAUCUAUAUUAUAAGCCUAUACGGUGUUCUACUGCUGGGCAAAGGCCUCCCCCCUUGAUUUCCACUCGUCUCGGUUUUGAGCAAUCUCCGGCCAGUCGUUGAGAUAUGCGUCCAGGUCGUCCCGCCAUCUCCGUCUGGACCUAACUGAUCCUCGCCCGUCUUGCGGCACCCAUAGCGUGGUUAUUUUGGUCCACCUCUGUGGGUGCAUGCAGCAGACAUGGCAUGGAUUCUAUUAUCAGAACUAAAUUAGAGAAAAAUGCGUCCAACUUGAAAAGAAAGAAUUUUCCAAAUCCGUUCAUACUUGACGGAGUUCAGGGGGCCUACCGCGAAAACCGGAAUUCGCCAAUUGCGGGGAUCUUUCCCUUAUACUCUCACUAAGACGUAAUUAGAGUGACAGAGAAAAAUUCCCGCAAUUGACGAACUUCGAUUUUCGCGAUAGGCCCCCUGAGGUAGAAGGUCAUCAAAAAAAUACAGUCAAAUUAACAACCUCCUCCUUGUUUUAAUUUAAAGUCGGUUAAAAAUUAAAAACUUUACUAACUCCAAAUUUUCCCGGUUUAACGAUCCAUUUUUAAAAAGUCAGUAAAAGUCUAAAAUACAUUUUUACAGUACAUAUGGGGCUACUUUAUAGCACUAGUGCGAGAAGUAGCAUAUUAUGUUACUGUGUCGAACAUUUAAAGGGCCAUAUGUACUGUAAAACGUUGUACGAUACAUGUGCGAAUAGGUAAUUCGCACUUGUAUCGUAAUGUACUAUUAUCGUUGUUGUGCUCUGAGUUUCAUACAUAUUAAAUAGACUUAGUGGUUCCCGCGAACAUACUUAAAAGUACCCCGAACUGAUACCUGGCAAUACGCCAAAAAGAUAGAUCAAUUGAAUGCACUACUUAGCCAACAAACGAUCGAAAAUCGCGUGCGAUUUAUUGCAAGGUCUAUGGAGCCCUUUCUGAUAGAUUAAAAUAAACUGUAUCUAUGGUAAACCGUAAUCUUUCUUGUCAAAUGUCAAAUACCUACAAUAUGUUUAUUUUAUUAUGCUAAUUAUUUUGAAAUCGUAAAAUAAAACUCAUUAUUGUAAA